rnacentral:snoRNA from 1 species
AAGAUCAUACUUCAUAGGAUCAUUUCUAUAGUAUGAUUAGCGAGUUCACUCACCUUAUAUACUCCCCUUUUAAAGGGCUUUUUUGCAACCGUUAUACCACGAAGGUAUGCGGAAAGAAGGGAGGCAAUAUCUUA